UCUUUUCACAUUUCCCUAACCAUACUCUUAAAGCAUGUGCAAUAAGGGGAGGAGCACAGGGGGCUGACAUCGGUAGUUCAACUCGUUAACCUAUGUUCAUGUUUAAGUAUGCACUGGUUAUGAUGAUUAGCAAUAGCAAGCGAGAGCCAUGAAUCUAACAUCUGAGAUAGGAUACCCGAAAUAUUAACCAAUCUGUCCAAUCACUUCUUCUCUGUUAUCUCUGUUGACAAGCUAACCUAAACCUUAGACAUGCAUACGCAGUAUACAGGAUAUUCUCCUUACUUGCUCCAUGGCUCAUAAAUGCAACAGCAAUAUAGAAAUAACCAAAGCCCUAUAAUCCAGUGGUUGUCUCACUUUGCAUGUAUAUUUCA